UCGUCGCCAUGUCUGCAACCUUAUCUCUACAAAAAAAAGAAGACAGUAAAGAGGGGGGAGAGUCAUGGAUUGAAAGGACGUGCAUUAGUGCAAGGUGCAUUAGCGAAUAUGGUGUGGAGUAGACAUGGUCACAUUGGGUUUUCUGGGUGGAGCAUUUCAUGAUCCUUCUCUUCUUGCUUUUCGAUUUUUUCUUUUUCAUUUAUUUUUUAUUUUGGAAAAAUGAAUUGUGCUUUUCAAUUUAGGUGUAGGGAAAUCAUACCUGCUCUUGAAAUUCACUGGUAAAAGAUUCCAUCCCGUUCAUGAACUCACCAUCGGUGUUGAAUUCGGAGCUCGCAUGGUCACCAUCCAUGGCAGGAAGCGUUAGAAGCCAAAUAUGGUUAAAACAGGGAGGGCCCUUUUGCAAAGAAAAGCCUCACAUGAUUUGCAAUGCAGCUGGUAGCUAUCAUUUCUUGGUAAUGUCCA